CCCAGUUGUUUCCUUUAAUUUUCCACCCGAUCUCGUCUGAUCUCGGAAACUAAGCAGGGUCAGGCCUGGUUAGUACUUGGACGGGAGUCUGUUGUAAAGUAAGGUGGAACUGAAC
ensembl:rRNA 5S_rRNA 5S ribosomal RNA